rnacentral:rRNA from 1 species
AUGGAGUCGAGGAAGCCGCAGCGCUCCGCUCUCGUCGACAGCUAUGUGGUCCCCGGCGACGUCAUCCUGGACCUCGCCGACAUGACCAACCAGACCAUCAAGCUCGGCGCCGGUCUGCGCCAGGAUUGUGACACUAUCCAGGCAACUAGUGCUGGGAGGCUUCGACUGUCCAAGCCCAACAAGUACUGGGUGGAGAACUCCCAGAAGAGGUAUGUACCUUCUGUAGAAGAUACGGUUCUUGGUAUUGUAGUUGACACCAAACCAGAUAACUUCUUGGUGGACAUAAAGGGGCCUAAUUUGGCCUUUUUACCAGUUCUUUCAUUUGAAGGUGGUACAAGGAGGAACAUACCAAAGUUUGAGAUUGGUACAUUAAUAUAUGCCAGAAUGGUGAAAGCAAAUAGCAUUAUGAAUCCAGAGCUUUCAUGCAUGGAUGCAAGUGGAAAAGCUGCUGAAUUUGGUCAACUGAAAAGUGGUUAUACGUUUGAAACAUCAACUGGCCUGGCAAGAAUGCUUUUAAGUUCCCCAACAUGUCCACUUCUAGAGGCCCUUGGGAAAAAACUAUCAUUUGAGAUAGCUGUUGGACUGAAUGGUCGAGUAUGGGUGAAUGCUCCUUCGCCAAGUAAUGUCAUUGUUGUAUCAAGCGCAAUAAAAGAAUCAGAAUCUUAUAGUCGCUUACAACAAAAAAGCAUGGUGGAAAAACUCCUGGCUAAACUGUCAUGA